rnacentral:rRNA from 1 species
GAUACGGCCAUAUCUACUGAAAACCACCGGAACCCAUCAGAACUCCGAAGUUAAACCAGUAUGAGCUUAAUUAGUACUAAGAAGGGAGA